rnacentral:tRNA from 1 species
GGGCGAUUAGCUCAGUUGGUAGAGCACUGUGUUCACAUCGCAGGGGUCGCAUGUUCGAGUCAUGCAUCGCCCACCA